CAUUAUUUCACUUUUAGAGUCAAAACCCAAGAGUAUGGUUUAGAGGAUUCAGUUAAAGAAAUUACUGUGUUGUCGAAGGCUUUCAUGGCCGGGAUCACAGGGUUGUUGUAUGUCUUUCGGGCUGUGUGGCCAUGUUCCAGAAGCAUUCUCUCCUGACGUUUCGCCCACAUCUAUGGCAGGCAUCCU
rnacentral:lncRNA from 11 species